AGAAAUUCUGAAUUUUUCAAUGAUUUUUGGAAAGCAGCUCUGAUGGGCUAUGGCAGUGGACUUUGUAUUGGAUUAUCCAUAAUAUAUUUCUUGAUCUCAACUGGAAAUCUAAGAUGGCUUGCAAGAAUCAUUGAAGAACUGGAACACAAAAUUAUCAUGCGAAGGAGAAAGAAGCAGCGAGGUCAAAAGAAUUACAGAAGAAGAAAUAAUCGCCUCUAGACAAGUUACCUGUAAAGAAGAAUUUGAUUUCAGAACUUCAGAUUUUCAGGUGCCAAGAAUAAGAAGAUGUUGGAGUAAUGGAUUUGGUUCUUCCUAUGUUGCAGCUUAUGAUUGUUGGAUUUGAUUUUUAGUUUUAUAAGCUUUUCUUAACCUGGGAAAAUGUAAUAUUAUGAAUUUUGAUGAUAUACAAUAAAUGUUGUGUGUAUUGAA